rnacentral:rRNA from 1 species
GAUGAACGCUGGCGGCGUGCCUAAUACAUGCAAGUCGAGCGAACAGACGAGGAGCUUGCUCCUCUGACGUUAGCGGCGGACGGGUGAGUAACACGUGGAUAACCUACCUAUAAGACUGGGAUAACUUCGGGAAACCGGAGCUAAUACCGGAUAAUAUAUUGAACCGCAUGGUUCAAUAGUGAAAGACGGUUUUGCUGUCACUUAUAGAUGGAUCCGCGCCGCAUUAGCUAGUUGGUAAGGUAACGGCUUACCAAGGCAACGAUGCAUAGCCGACCUGAGAGGGUGAUCGGACAGACUGGAAAUGAGACAAGGUAAAGAAGACUAGGGGAGGCAGGAGUGGGGAAACGUCAGCAAUGGGAGAAAGCAUGACGGAGAAAAGAAGCGUGAGAGAUGAAGGUAUUAGGAUCGUAAAAAUCUGUUAUUAGGGAAGAACACAUGUGUAAGUAAGUGUGGACAUAGUGAAGGUAAAUAAGAAGAAAGAUAAGGAUAAAUACGUG